AGCUAACGCGUGAAGUUGACCGCCUGGGGAGUACGGUCGCAAGAUUAAAACUCAAAGGAAUUGACGGGGACCCGCACAAGCGGUGGAUGAUGUGGAUUAAUUCGAUGCAACGCGAAAAACCUUACCUACCCUUGACAUGUACGGAAUCCUGCUGAGAGGUGGGAGUGCUCGAAAGAGAGCCGUAACACAGGUGCUGCAUGGCUGUCGUCAGCUCGUGUCGUGAGAUGUUGGGUUAAGUCCCGCAACGAGCGCAACCCUUGUCCUUAGUUGCUACGCAAGAGCACUCUAAGGAGACUGCCGGUGACAAACCGGAGGAAGGUGGGGAUGACGUCAAGUCCUCAUGGCCCUUAUGGGUAGGGCUUCACACGUCAUACAAUGGUCGGUACAGAGGGCUGCCAAACCGCGAGGUGGAGCUAACCCCAGAAAACCGAUCGUAGUCCGGAUCGCAGUCUGCAACUCGACUGCGUGAAGCUGGAAUCGCUAGUAAUCGCGGAUCAGCAUGUCGCGGUGAAUACGUUCCCGGGUCUUGUACACACCGCCCGUCACACCAUGGGAGUGGGUUUUGCCAGAAGUAGGUAGCCUAACCGAAAGGAGGGCGCUUACCACGGCAGGAUUCAUGACUGGGGUG
rnacentral:rRNA from 1 species